CUACAUUAACUCUGUAGACCCGAAUUUGUCUGAAAAUUAAUUUGUUACCAAUUCGGCUCUACAGAGGUUUUUGUGGC
rnacentral:pre_miRNA from 13 species